AUGCCAGUCAGCACUAAAAAAAAAAAAAAAAAAGAGUUAUCAAGUCAUCUGAAUGCAGAGUUCCAAAGAAUAGCAAGAAGAGAUAAGAAAGCCUUCUUCAGCGAUCAAUGCAAAGAAAUAGAGGGAAACAACAGAAUGGGAAAGACACUAGAUCUCUUCAAGAAAAUUAGAGAUACCAAGGGAACAUUUCAUGCAAAGAUGGGCUUGAUAAAGGACAGAAAUGGUAUGGACCUAACAGAACCAGAAGAUAUUAAGAAGAGGUGGCAAGAAUACACGGACCUGUACAAAAAAGAUCUUCACGACCCAGAUAAUCAUGAUGAUAUGAUCACUAAUCUAGAGCCAGACAUCUUAGAAUGUGAAGUCAAGUGGGCCUUAGAAAGCAUCACUACGAACAAAGCUAGUGGAGGUGAUGGAAUUCCAGUUGAGCUGUUUCAAAUCCUGAAAGAUGAUGCUGUGAAAGUCCUGCACUCAAUAUGCCAGCACACUUGGAAAACUCAGCAGUGGCCAAAGGACUGGAAAAGGUCAGUUUUCAUUCCAAUCCCAAAGAAAGGCAAUGGCAAAGAAUGCUCAAACUACCGCACAACUGCACUCAUCUCACAUGCUAGUAAAGUAAUGCUCAAAAUUCUCCAAGCCAGGCUUCAGCAAUACAUGAACUGUGAACUUCCUGAUGUUCAAGCUGGUUUUAGAAAAGGCAGAGGAACCAGAGAUCAAACUGCCAACAUCUGCUGGAUCAAGGAAAAAGCAAGAGAGUUCCAGAAAAACAUCUAUUUCUGCUUUAUUGACUAUGCCAAAGCCUUUGACUGUGUGGAUCACAAUAAACUGUGGAAAAUUCUGAAAGAGAUGGGAAAACCAGACCACCUGACCUGCCUCUUGAGAAAUCCGUAUGCAAGUCAGGAAGCAACAGUUAGAACUGGACAUGGAACAACAGACUGGUUCCAAAUAGGAAAAGGAGUACGUAAAGGCUGUAUAUUGUCACCCUGCUUAUUUAACUUCUGUGCAGAGUACAUCAUGAGAAACGCUGGACUGGAAGAAGCACAAGCUGGAAUCAAGAUUACUGGGAGAAAUGUCAGUAACCUCAGAUAUGCAGAUGACACCACCCUUAUGGCAGAAAGUGAAGAGGAGCUAAAAAGCCUCUUGAUGAAAGUGAAAGAGAAGAGUGAAAAAGUUGGCUUAAAGCUCAACAUUCAGAAAACGAAGAUCAUGGCAUCCGGUCCCAUCACUUCAUGGCAAAUAGAUGGGGAAACAGUGGAAACAGUGUUAGGCUUUAUUUUUUGGGGUUCCCAAAUCACUGCAGAUGGUGACUGCAGCCAUGAAAUUAAAAGAUGCUUACUCCUUGGAAGGAAAGUUAUGACCAACCUAGAUAGCAUAUUCAAAAGCAGAGACAUUACUUUGCCAACUAAGGUCCAUCUAGUCAAGGCUAUGGUUUUUCCUGUGGUCAUGUAUGGAUGUGAGAGUUGGACUGUGAAGAAGGCUGAGCACCGAAGAAUUGAUGCUUUUGAACUGUGGUGUUGGAGAAGACUCUUGAGAGUCCCUUGGACUGCAAGGAUAUCCAACCAGUCCAUUCUGAAGGAGAUCAGCCCUGGGAUUUCUUUGGAAGGAAUGAUGCUAAAGCUGAAACUCCAUUACUUCAGCCAGCUUAUGCGAAGAGUUGCAAAAAACUCUGAUGCUGGGAGGGAUUGGGGGGCAGUAGGAGAAGGGGACGACCGAGGAUGA
rnacentral:lncRNA from 1 species